GCAUAUCAAUAAGCGGAGGAAAAGAAACCAAACGGGGAUUGCCCUAGUAACGGCGAGUGAAGCGGCAAGAGCUCAAAUUUGAAAGCUGGCCCCCUCGGGGUCCGCAUUGUAAUUUGUAGAGGAUGCUUCGGGAGCGGUCCCCAUCUAAGUGCCCUGGAACGGGCCGUCAUAGAGGGUGAGAAUCCCGUAUGGGAUGGGGUGCCCGCGCCCGUGUGAAGCUCCUUCGACGAGUCGAGUUGUUUGGGAAUGCAGCUCUAAUUGGGUGGUAAAUUUCAUCUAAAGCUAAAUAUUGGCCGGAGACCGAUAGCGCACAAGUAGAGUGAUCGAAAGAUGAAAAGCACUUUGAAAAGAGAGUUAAACAGCACGUGAAAUUGUUGAAAGGGAAGCGCUUGCGAUCAGACUCGCUCGCGGGGUUCAGCCGGCCUUCGGGCCGGUGUACUUCCCCGCGGGCGGGCCAGCGUCGGUUUGGGCGGCCGGUCAAAGGCCCCUGGAAUGUAACGCCUCUCGGGGCGUCUUAUAGCCAGGGGUGCCAUGCGGCCUGCCCGGACCGAGGAACGCGCUUCGGCUCGGACGCUGGCAUAAUGGUCGUAAGCGACCCGUCUUGAAACACGGACCAAGGAGUCUAACAUCUACGCGAGUGUUCGGGUGUCAAACCCGUGCGCGCAGUGAAAGCGAACGGAGGUGGGAACCCCUCGGGGUGCACCAUCGACCGAUCCUGAUGUCUUCGGAUGGAUUUGAGUAAGAGCGUAGCUGUUGGGACCCGAAAGAUGGUGAACUAUGCCUGAAUAGGGCGAAGCCAGAGGAAACUCUGGUGGAGGCUCGCAGCGGUUCUGACGUGCAAAUCGAUCGUCAAAUUUGGGUAUAGGGGCGAAAGACUAAUCGAACCAUCUAGUAGCUGGUUCCUGCCGAA
rnacentral:rRNA from 1 species